rnacentral:rRNA from 1 species
UACGUAGGGACCAAGCGUUGUUCGGAUUUACUGGGCGUAAAGGGCGCGUAGGCGGCAAUUCAAGUCAGUUGUGAAAUCUCCGAGCUUAACUCGGAACGGUCAACUGAUACUGUUUUGCUAGAGUACAGAAGGGGCAAUCGGAAUUCUUGGUGUAGCGGUGAAAUGCGUAGAUAUCAAAGAGGAACACCUGAGGUGAAGACGGGUUGCUGGGCUGAUACUGACGCUGAGGCGCGAAAGCUAGGGUAGCAAACGGG